AUGCGGAGAUCCAAGGGAUCAGGACGGCGGCGAGCUGCAGACGAGCGGAAGCUCAUCCGGAUGGCGGACGAGGCGGCCGCAGCGAGCUCGAUGCAAGCGGCGGCGGCAGCGGCGCUGGCCUCCCUCCACCUCCCUCCUCCAGGACUGACAGAAACUGACAACCAAGAUCGGAAAAUUUUCGGGAGAGGAGCACGGAUAAAGCGGAAGGCGAAGCGGAAGUGGGGCUACGUUGGCGCUGAAGCAGGCGCGGUGGACUCUGGCGGGCUGCGUCCCCGUCUUCUUAGUCAUCGCCGGUCGACUUGCAGGGGAGGAGUUGGAUCCAUGGAUGAAGUAUUACAUGGUGAAGUGGGCAUCAGGAGCCGUUUCAGUGCUGGGAGGAUUCGAGAGAUCAUGCGUGGUCUGACACCCCGGCAGCAGGGGUAUGUUGCAAAGUAUGGAUUCGAGCAUUUCAAUCGUAUCGGGGCAUUCUCUGUUCAUGAGCCACUGACUGAGUGGAUCAUGGGAAAAAUUAACCCCCCGUUCUCUGAGUUCAGAAUUAAUGCGGACAAGACAAUAGUUUUCAGCAAGCCCCUUGUUCAGAAAAUUCUAGGUGUACCUACAGGGGGAAGACCCUUUGUACUGCAUGGGCAGAAGUCGGACAAAAUCAAAGAACUGCGAGAUCUGUACUUAAAUAAUGGACUAAGGGCAACCAUCCCCCAUUGUGUCAGUUUGCUUAAGAACAAUGAGGACGAGGAGUCCUUCAUGAGGACAUUCCUGCUUAUUGCACUGGCGGCAGUGCUCACCCCCACCACUGGGAAUACCAUAGACCUUGACUACCUGUGGGCCUUUGAAGAUAUGUCAAAGGUUCAGGACCUCGAUUGGGCAGGCCAUAUCACGGAGCAUCUGAUGGAUGAGGUGCAGAAAUUUCAGUACAAAUCUAGGGAGGAAAAGAUGAGAGACUUCUGGGUUGGCGGGUGCUUGCCCUUGCUCACGAUUGCUUACAUGGACCACUUGGAUCUCCCAAGAGGGCGAAUUGUAGACCAUGAAAUUAACUACUCGGUGCCCAGGAUCUGCCAUGUUUCUAAGGAUGAUUUCCAGUUUGCCGCAAUUGCUGACCUGCAUCGUCAACAUUUCAAGUUUGCCACAUUUGGGAUACUUCCAUUCCGUGAUAGAACACCAUACACUGAUAAUCCAGUAACCGAUACAGAAGUAGCAGAAGACGAUCUUCGUAUUCUCUCGAAUGAUCAAGUCUUAUCAGGGCAAUGGGAACUUGUAGAAGUACACGAGCAAAAAAUAGACGAACUUGUAAAAGAAACUCAACCUGAAGCCCUUGGGUUUGCAGAAGCGAGCAUCGAUCAUUUCCGUCUUGGAAGAACUGAUAUCAGCUCAAAUCAAGGAACUAAAAAAACCGCUAGCUGCGAAAGGGGCAGUUCUAGCCAUUGUAGGAAUACUGCAAAGGCGGCUGUGACACCCUCUUCGUCUGAGAAAUCAGUAGAAGACAGUGGUCGAGAAUAUGAAUCUUCAGAGUCAGAUGAUCAUCCGACACCUCCAGAAGCUGAUUAUGGGGUAAUAUUCAGGAGUUAUCUAUCUGGAACACAAAUGGAGAGUGUAAACACGCUUAUCCACAAAAUUAAACCUGAAACUAUUGUAUUCGUGGCUACCAUGAGGAAGUCCGAUGUUCAGCUACCCACUCCUCUUCUGAUCAUUUCGAAGGAACGCUCAUUAGCCGCAGCUGCACGCUUUCCGCAUGAAAACGGGGCCGUCACACUUCAGAUGCCGGGCAAGAGCGAGAAGUGGAGGCCAAGAUUCUUCAUAGAAAAAGACAAUUGCAUGCUUGCGGGUAAUUGGUUAGAUUUUGUAUGUGACAACCAAGUGCAGGCGGGCGACAUAUGCAUCUUUGUACCGGCAAUGGGUGGGGAAAGGUCCACAUUCACGGUCCAUAUAAUUCGUGCAGAAGCUACUCAUCGAAGGGGUGUUAAAAGGGUUCGAUCCAGCCAUGAUUCUCCGGUUGGCGUGGAAGGAAUGACAAAUCCAGAUGCCGUUUAG
rnacentral:rRNA from 1 species